AAAUAAUAAAUAAAUCCUAAAGAAUUCUAAUAAAAUCUUAGAUAAAAUUUUAAUCAAAUCUUUAUGAAAUCCUAUUUAAAUCUUAUACCAAACCUUAAUCAAAUCUUAAAUCUUUUUCAAAUCCUAAAAUAAUUCUAAAAAAAUUAUAUAUAAAUCGUAAAUCCUAAAUCAAUCCUAAUCAAAUCCUAAAUAAGUCCUAAAAUUUUAAUAAACUCUUAAUAAAUCCUAUAAUACACUGAAAUUACAAUUAAUUAUUGAAAUUCUAAUAUUCUAAAGCCAAAAAUUUCUUAAUUUUAUUGUUCAAUAGAUCUCAAAUUUUUCACAUUUCUCAAAAGUCAAAUUAAGCACAUAUGCCUAAAAUUUUAUUUCAACCCAAUUAACAAAUUGUCAAAUAUUUUAGAAACCCUCACAAGUUUUUUAAAUCCCAAAUCUCAAGAACUCAAUAUAUUUUAGCUUUAAUAAAUUAUGAAUAAAUCAUUAGAUGAAGCUUAAACUUAUAAAAUAAAUAGUGCAAUAAUAAUCACUUAAUUAUAAAAUUUUAGUUAUAAAUCAUUUAUAAAUAUUACACAUUUAU
rnacentral:lncRNA from 1 species